rnacentral:rRNA from 2 species
UUGACGGAGCAACGCCGCGUGAGUGAUGAAGGCUUUCGGGUCGUAAAACUCUGUUGUUAGGGAAGAACAAGUACGAGAGUAACUGCUCGUACCUUGACGGUACCUAACCAGAAAGCCACGGCUAACUACGUGCCAGCAGCCGCGGUAAUACGUAGGUGGCAAGCGUUAUCCGGAAUUAUUGGGCGUAAAGCGCGCGCAGGCGGUUUCUUAAGUCUGAUGUGAAAGCCCACGGCUCACCCGUGGAAGGUCAUUGGAAACUGGGGAACUUGAGUGCAGAAGAGAAAAGCGGAAUUCCCCGUGUAGCGGUGAAAUGCGUAGAGAUGUGGAGGAACACCGGUGGCGAAAGCGGCUUUUUGGUCUGUAACUGACGCUGAAGCGCGAAAGCGUGGGGAGCAACCAGGAUUAGAUACCCUGGUAGUCCACGCCGUAAACGAUGAGUGCUAAGUGUUAGAGGGUUUCCGCCCUUUUGUGCUGCAGCUAACGCAUUAAGCACUCCGCCUGGGGAGUACGGUCGCAAGACUGAAACUCAAAGGAAUUGACGGGGGCCCGCACAAGCGGCGG